rnacentral:rRNA from 1 species
AGUGAACGCUGGCGGUAGGCCUAACACAUGCAAGUCGAACGGCAGCACAGUAAGAGCUUGCUCUUACGGGUGGCGAGUGGCGGACGGGUGAGGAAUACAUCGGAAUCUACUUUUUCGUGGGGGAUAACGUAGGGAAACUUACGCUAAUACCGCAUACGACCUACGGGUGAAAGCAGGGGAUCUUCGGACCUUGCGCGAUUGAAUGAGCCGAUGUCGGAUUAGCUAGUUGGCGGGGUAAAGGCCCACCAAGGCGACGAUCCGUAGCUGGUCUGAGAGGAUGAUCAGCCACACUGGAAAUGAGACACGGUCCAGACUCCUACGGGAGGCAGCAGUGGGGAAUAUUGGACAAUGGGCGCAAGCCUGAUCCAGCCAUACCGCGUGGGUGAAGAAGGCCUUCGGGUUGUAAAGCCCUUUUGUUGGGAAAGAAAAGCAGCAGGUUAAUACCCCGCUGUUCUGACGGUACCCAAAGAAUAAGCACCGGCGAACUUCGU